CUGGGAACCCAUGAGUGGAGGCAGAGUGAAAUGUGUAUUCAGAGAAUCGGUUCUCUCCCCUUCCCAGACCACCUGCCCCUUGCCCAUAACCCAGCUCCCAUCUCAGGAAUGGCAUCCAGGGAGUGGGCUGUGCAUGUCCGCAUGCUUGCAGCACUAUUGAAUGGGUUCCUUCACAGGAUUCAGAGAACUGACUAGCCAAGCCAGGCCAGACUUCAAGGCUGCAGCCACUGGACAAAAAGAAUUCUCAUGAGGCCUUCUCCAUUUCACAGCCCUUUGUCUCUUCUGUAGGGUUCUGCCCUCAGCCCACCUCUCUCUCCUUGGGGAGCCCUGAUGUCUUCUACAGUUUGGAAUAACAUUCUAAAUCUAUGGCCUCCCAA